UCUGGCGGCAGUAGCGAGGUGGUCCCACCUGACCCCAUGCCGAACUCAGAAGUGAAACGCCGUAGCGCCGAUGGUAGUGUGGGGUCUCCCCAUGCGAGAGUAGGGAACUGCCAGAC
rnacentral:rRNA from 1 species